AGUAGAAGGUAAUCGAGCCACUUAGGUGGUUAGGAAAGUCCAUGCUAGCACAACCUGUGAUGGUUGUAGUGUUUGUGCCUAAGGAAACAAUAACUUAGGGUACAUCUUCGGAUGUAACGGCGGCAAUCUUGCUAAGACUUAGGUUAUGCAGGAACCAUAAAGUGCCACAGAAACGAAUCACUUGGAAACAAGUGAAUGAAACGCGGUAAACCCCUCAAGCUAGUAACCCAAAUUUUGGUAGGGGCACUUUGAAAGCAGAACAGAAUGCAUUUCAGAGCUAGAAAUAGAGAUAAAUGAUUACACUCGAAAGAGAACAGAACAUGGCUUAUGCAU
rnacentral:RNase_P_RNA from 2 species